rnacentral:rRNA from 1 species
UACGUAGGGUGCGAGCGUUAAUCGGAAUUACUGGGCGUAAAGCGUGCGCAGGCGGUCUGUUAAGACCGAUGUGAAAUCCCCGGGCUUAACCUGGGAACUGCAUUGGUGACUGGCAGGCUUUGAGUGUGGCAGAGGGAGGUAGAAUUCCACGUGUAGCAGUGAAAUGCGUAGAGAUGUGGAGGAUACCGAUGGCGAAGGACAGCCUCCUGGGCCAA